GAAAUUCCUUGUCGGGUAAGUUCCGACCCGCACGAAAGGCGCAACGAUCUGGGCACUGUCUCAACGAGAGACUCGGUGAAAUUAUAGUACCUGUGAAGAUGCAGGUUACCCGCGACAGGACGGAAAGACCCCGUGGAGCUUUACUGCAACCUGAUAUGGAAUGUUUGUACCGCUUGUACAGGAUAGGUAGGAGCCGAAGAGACGUGUGCGCUAGCAUACGAGGAGGCAAUGGUGGGAUACUACCCUGGCUGUAUGACCAUUCUAACCCGCCACGCUUAGCGCGUGGGGAGACAGUGUCAGGUGGGCAGUUUGACUGGGGCGGUCGCCUCCUAAAGAGUAACGGAGGCGCCCAAAGGUUCCCUCAGAAUGGAUGGAAAUCAUUCGCAGAGUGUAAAGGCACAAGGGAGCUUGACUGCGAGACUGACAAGUCGAGCAGGGACGAAAGUCGGGCUUAGUGAUCCGGUGGUUCCGCAUGGAAGGGCCA
rnacentral:rRNA from 1 species